rnacentral:lncRNA from 1 species
UAUUUUCAGUUUGGGUCUGUUUGCAUUAAAACUGUACAUUUAGUCAGUGGCUUGUCUAAGAAUGUCUUACGGAGCAGAAAUUUAUUAAUGAUGUUCAUUGAAUAAUCUUGUGGUGACAUAGCCAAGAAAGGUCACUUUUGUGGUGCUGUUUGAAUUUUACACACAUCUUGUUCAUUCCUCCUAAAAUCCCAAUAAGACUUUUGACUACAGUAAGUGCACAAAUCAAUUCAGAGAGCUAAAGUGCCCUCUUACCCAGUCCCUGACUUGUAGAUAGAGCCCAUCGCUACCUUUAGACUUUACCUUCCUCUUAGCAUUUGAGUUUGGUUUCAGCUGUGCAGAACUUUCACCCUUUUGCUCAGGUUUAUCCCUAUUUCUUCUUUUGGUCCCACCAUUAGUAUUUAAAUACCAGUAGUAUUUAAAAUGUUCAUUUUCUGACAGUUCAUUGUGAGUAUGUAGAAAUUCAGUCAACUAUGUGUAUUGCUGCUUAUGAAAUAGGCAUCUCAAACAUAAGAAGUUUAAGACUGUGAUUUGGAACUCCUGUCUUCUUGCUCUUCAAAGAAUUACAGUUGCUAUUCUCUUUGAUAGAUGGACCUCCUGUCAGUCCACAUGUGCUGACCACAAGUCAUGGAGUAACUUUGCCUCUUCUGCUUCUUCUACACUCUUGCUUAUCCUUGCUAGAAAUCCCACCCCAUGGUUUCCCAUCUCACUCAAGACAAAAGCCCGCAGAUCUGGUCCCUGCUCCCUUGUGGCUUCUCUUAUCUCCUGUCUCCUUAUACUCACUGUACCCCAAUGACCUGAAUUGUUCUUUGAAAGUCCUUGCUACAGUCUCAUUGUAAGGAGGCCUCCUUUUCCCACUCUUGUAUCUGUCACACCUGCCUACAGUGACUCUCCUUGCCAUGCUUCCUUCUCCGCCAUGUGUGUGCAGAACAUUAUUUCCUUAAUUAUGUCUGCAUCAGAAUACACCCAUUAAAGGCUGGCAUCUCUCUGCUCUAGCUGAGUUCCUACCACCUAGAAAUGUGUCAGGCAUAAAAUACACGUUUCAUACAUAUUGAUGGCUGAAAGAAUGCUCAGUUCUCUCAAUUUUUAUGUGACACAGUUUCCCCUAAGCAUAUAGAAUAUGACCUCAGAGUCCGUCUUUUCUAGUGAUGGCAUGAGAAAAAGAUCCAUAUUUGAAGAAUAUUCAAGUUUGUAGUAUAUAAAUAGUGAUUUACUUCAUGUUACUGUUCUACUAUCUCUGUUUAAGUAAUUGAGGGUCUUAAAAGCCUUUUUUUCCCCUUAGCUUUUUGAAUUUGAUAUGACAUAUUUAUUAUUUUUAAAGGAAUUUGGAGUAUUCAAAAUGUGUUUCUUGAAGUCUGGAGUUGAUAAGGCAUACACAAAUUUCAGAAAAGCUCUUAAAAUUAUUCUAAAUUCUUGGAAGUCUUAGUAGACUUUGUUUUUUAGUGAAAUCUGGAGUUAUUUAAUUUGGACAUAGACUAAAAUAAACAUUUAUAGACUAUUUAUAAAUAUUUACUUUAUAAAUACUGACAUUAAAAAGAAAUUGGGACCUGUAAUGUGUAAAUGAGUUGUAGGUGAGAAGU